rnacentral:rRNA from 1 species
CCUACGGGAGGCUGCAGUGGGGAAUAUUGGACAAUGGGGGGAACCCUGAUCCAGCCAUGCCGCGUGUGUGAAGAAGGCCCUCGGGUUGUAAAGCACUUUCAGUGAGGAAGAACGCCUGGUGGUUAAUACCCAUCAGGAAAGACAUCACUCACAGAAGAAGCACCGGCUAACUCCGUGCCAGCAGCCGCGGUAAUACGGAGGGUGCGAGCGUUAAUCGGAAUUACUGGGCGUAAAGCGCGCGUAGGUGGCUUGAUAAGCCGGUUGUGAAAGCCCCGGGCUCAACCUGGGAACGGCAUCCGGAACUGUCAAGCUAGAGUGCAGGAGAGGAAGGUAGAAUUCCCGGGGUAGCGGUGAAAUGCGUAGAGAUCGGGAGGAAUACCAGUGGCGAAGGCGGCCUUCUGGACUGACACUGACACUGAGGUGCGAAAGCGUGGGUAGCAAACAGGAUUAGAUACCCUAGUAGUC